UACGGAGGGUGCAAGCGUUAAUCGGAAUUACUGGGCGUAAAGCGCACGCAGGUGGCUGAGUCAGUCGAUUGUGAAAGCCCUGGGCUUAACCUGGGAAUUGCAGUCGAUACUACUCAGCUAGAGUAUGGGAGAGGGUAGUGGAAUUCCCGGUGUAGCGGUGAAAUGCGUAGAUAUCGGGAGGAAUAUCAGUGGCGAAGGCGGCUACCUGGCCCAAUACUGACACUCAGGUGCGACAGCGUGGGGAGCAAACAGG
rnacentral:rRNA from 1 species